rnacentral:rRNA from 1 species
CGUGCCAGCAGCCGCGGUAAUACGGGAGUGGCAAGCGUUAUCCGGAAUUAUUGGGCGUAAAGCGUCCGCAGGCGGCCUUGUAAGUCUGUCGUUAAAGCGUGGAGCUUAACUCCAUUUCAGCGAUGGAAACUACAAGGCUUGAGUGUGGUAGGGGCAGAGGGAAUUCCCGGUGUAGCGGUGAAAUGCGUAGAUAUCGGGAAGAACACCAGUGGCGAAGGCGCUCUGCUGGGCCAUAACUGACGCUCAUGGACGAAAGCCAGGGGAGCGAAAGGGAUUAGAUACCCCUGUAGUCCUGGCCGUAAACGAUGAACACUAGGUGUCGGGGGAAUCGACCCCCUCGGUGUCGUAGCUAACGCGUUAAGUGUUCCGCCUGGGGAGUACGCACGCAAGUGUGAAACUCAAAGGAAUUGACGGGGGCCCGCACAAGCGGUGGAGUAUGUGGUUUAAUUCGAUGCAACGCGAAGAACCUUACCAGGGUUUGACAUCCUGCGAAUCCCUUGGAAACGAGGGAGUGCCUUCGGGAGCGCAGAGACAGGUGGUGCAUGGCUGUCGUCAGCUCGUGUCGUGAGAUGUUGGGUUAAGUCCCGCAACGAGCGCAACCCACGUCUUUAGUUGCCAGCAUUUAGUUGGGCACUCUAGAGAGACCGCCGGUGAUAAACCGGAGGAAGGUGUGGAUGACGUCAAGUCAUCAUGCCCCUUACAUCCUGGGCUACACACGUACUACAAUGCUACGGACAAAGGGUCGCAAGCUCGCGAGAGUUAGCUAAUCCCAUAAACCGUGGCUCAGUUCAGAUCGUAGGCUGCAACUCGCCUACGUGAAGGAGGAAUCGCUAGUAAUCGCAGGUCAGCAUACUGCGGUGAAUACGUUCCCGGGCCUUGUACACACCGCCCGUC